rnacentral:rRNA from 1 species
UUCUUUAAGUUAUGAUUUAAAGUAUAACCUGCUCAAUGAUUUAAAUAGCUGCGGGAGACUGUACUAAGGUAGCAAGGUCAAUAGUUCUUUAAUUGGGGGCGAGAAUGAAGGGUGUGAUGAAGGAGAUUUUUCUUGAUUUUAAGAUUUGAAUUUGAGGGGUAGGUUAAAACUCCUAUAGAAAUUUUAGGGACGAGAAGACCCUAUAAGCUUUGAGCAGUUCUUUGAGAUAGUUGGGGAACAUAUUUUUGGUUGGGGUAAUUGAAUAAGAUAGGAUUUUAUUUUUGAUCCAUUAUUAAUGAUUUAAAGAAAAAGUUACUUUAGGGAUAACAGCGUAAUAAGGGGAAGGGAGUUCUUAUUUUUUCCUUUGUUUGCGACCUCGAUGUUGGAUUAAUAUGUCUUUUAGGAGCAAGAUUUUAAGAAGAUAGACUGUUCGUCUAUUAAAUUAUUACA